AAACACGGGGCAUUUGUGCAGACGGCCAUAUGUCCACAGAAUGUCUGGAACCCUUCCCCCAACCCUGUUCCCCUGGAGAAUGUCUCUACUGGAAACACACUGCCAGGGUUUCCUUAAAUGGCAGCUGCUCCUGGAACAAAGGAAGAAAUUCACAGCAUAGAGGGGAGAACUUAAGCUAUCUUUCCAGGAGUAAACUCUUGAAGGAAUGCCUGAAUGCAUAUGGGAAAUGAAAACACCUCUAAGAAAAAGGCAAGAAUAGCACCGUCCAGGCUAUCUACAUGGAAGUUAAAGACUCUACAUCUCUUUCAGAAUAAAGUAGGGAAACAACUUGGGUGUUCCAUCUCCAUGAAUCAAUAAAACUAACUCUAGUAUCCAAAGGUGCAUCUGAUCUCUGAGCACACUAAUGUAUGGUCAGAGUACACCAUCCUCCCUGACUUCACCUGUAUUGGCAGGAACAUACACCUGUACCAGGAGAUUUAACAGAGACUGGAGGUGCUGUCCCAGUGCUGGGAGUCCAUGAAAGACCUCAGGCACCUGUACUGGAGUGUGAAAGACUCUUAACAGUUUCUCUGGGAGGCGACCUAGCAAUUGCCCCUGCUAAGAUGAGCUGGAUUGGGUGCACUCCAGGCUGUGACUACUGAACCUGAAUUCAUAACCCACUCCUUGACCCUGCUGGCCUCUUUGCACAGCAGGAUCCUGAUGAGGGGCAGGGCAAGGAAGCAGGAGGGUCCUGGGAGGAAGUCCCGGAGGAAGCACCUGGAGACCCGGAAGAAGAGGAGCAUGUUACUCUGCAUCUCUCUCUGGCAGACCUCGUUGAGGUUGCCCCCUCUGAGGAGCCUGAGGAGGAGCCCGAGCUGCAGCAGGAACCAGAAU